GAAGGUAUAUUUACAAGACACAAACGGGUGUGCACGAGGAUGAGAAGGUCAGUACAUCAAGAUGACACAUAAUGAUCCUAUGUGUAUACGCAUCUAGGUAAUAGAGAUUCAAGAUAUGUGAUGCAAACAUGAUACAACUGGAGGAGAAAACAGAUCCACUCUCGUUGGAGAUUUAACACACUGCUCUCAGGAACCGAUGGAACAAGCAAAAAAAUUAGCAAGGCUAUAGACGAUGCGACACUAUCGACCAACGUGACCUGACAUUACAGAACACUACGCCCAACAACAGCAGAAUAUCCGUUCUUUUCAGGUGCACGUGGGGUGUUCAUCAAGCUAGACCGUGUGCUGGACCACAAGUUGGAAAAGAUUUAUCACAGAAAUGUUCUCAGACCAUGGCCAAAAUUAAAAUUAGAACUCAGGGACUUCCCUGGUGGUCCACUGGGUAAGACUGCGCUCCCAAAGCAGAGGGCCCGGGUUGGAUCCCUGGUUGGGGAACUAGAUCCCGCACGCGUGCCGCAACUAAGAGUUCACAUGCCGCAUCUAAGAAGUCUGCAUGCCACAUCUAAGGAAUGUGCAUGCUGCAAGUAAAGAUCCUGCAUGCUGCAACUAAGACCAGGCGCAGCCUAAAUAAAUAAAUAAAUGAUAUUUUUUUAAAACCUCUAAUUAAUUGUUAAAAAAUCAACAGCAAUAAUUACACAAAAGUCUCCAUAUUAAAAUUAUCUUGGAAGUUAAACAACAUACUUGCAAAAAACCCAUGGGUCUAAAAAAAAACAAUCACAAGGGAAAUUAUAAAAUAUUUUCAGCUGAAUGACAGAACACAAUAUCUCAAAAUUUAUGGGAUGCGGCUAAAGCAGUGCUCAGAAGAAAAAUUAUAGCUGUAAAUGCCUCUACUAGAAGGUUUAAGGUCAACAAUCUGAAUUUCCAUUAUAAGAAUACAGAGAAAUAAAAACAUUUAAUCCAAAACAAGGAAAGGAGGAAAUAAUAAAGAUAAGACCAAAUAUCAAUGAAAUGGGAAACAGAAUCAACAAAGCCAAAAAUUGGUUCUUAAAAAUAAUAGGUACGCUCUAGCAAGACUGAUCAAGGAAAAAAAAAAAAAAAGCAAACACAAGUUACCAAUAUCACGAAUGAGACAGAGGAUGAAAUCUUACAGCCAUCAAAAGGAUAUUGUGAAAAACUUUAUGGCAAUAUACUUGACAGCUUGGAUGAAAUGUAUAAAUUUCUUAAAAAACAACUUUAUGAAACCAAUGCAAGAAGUAGUUGAAAAUCUGAAUAUUCCUAUAUCUAUUAAGAAGUUGACUUUAGUCAAAAACCUUCUCGCAAAGAAAAUCCUAGGCCCAGUUGAUUUCAUUAGUGAAUUCUAACAGACUCUUAAGGAUGGAAUACUAAAAUUCCAUAGAAACUUUCAGAAGAAUAGAGGAGGGGAGGACACUUUCCAACUCACUUCAGGAGACCACCGUGACCCUGUUCUAAGAUCUGACAGUGAUCUUACAAGAAAAUAAAAGUAGAGGUCAGUUCUCCUCAUGAACAUAGGUACAAAAUUCCUGAACAAAAUAUUAGCAAAUUGAAUCCAGUAAUAUUUUAAAAGGAUAAUAGAGCAUGACCAAGUGGUGUUUGUUCCAGGAAUACAAGGUUAAUCUAACAUUUGAAAACCAAUCUAUAUAAUUCAACAUAUUAGCAAAAUAAAGGAC
ensembl:lncRNA